CGACCCUGCCUCGUCGAUCUCAUCUCCACCUCCAUCCCCAAACGACGGCGAUGAUCGAGGGCGCCGCCCCAGCUCCUGGCUGACGGAUUCGCCGGCUCCCCGCUCCUUGGGGCCAGCCCCUCCCACAGCGAUGAUGGAGGGCGCCGCCCAGUUCCCGGCCGAUGGAUACGCCGGCUCCCCUCUUCUCGGGGCCAGCCCCUCCCCCGUGCCGGGUCGAGCCUCGGCUUGGAGGCCCUUGGGGCUGCCGUCGGUGCGGGAGUCCCGCGCGGCCAUGCGGGCUGGGGACCGAGCGGCGGACCGGCCACCUGUGCCCUGUCCGCCCUGCUGCUGAGCCAUCCUUGUACCGUUGCACACAUCUUCGCACCACGCGGCCAGCCUCUGGUGCGCACCUCUGCUUUUACUAGCCGCGAACCACGAGCAUCACCUGUUUGGUGUUGCGCCUACGAGCGUGUUGGAGAAAUCUGUGUCCAGAGGGUGGCGAAGAUUGAUGCGGAGAGGAAGACGAUGGCGACAGAGAGCGUGUGUACUCCAGCCUGUUGGAUUUAUCACAGAUGCCCCACUAAUUUGGCUUGAUGUACAAUGUCAGAUUCAAGAAAAAUUGUGUUUUCUAUGUUCUACUAUAGAUCACCAGACUGCGUUGUAUGGAGCGGAACAGAACCAACUGGUCUGCAUCUCCUUCAAUGGCACCCUGCAUCUCUAUCAAUAGCACUCUGCAGCAAGCUUGCUUUCUCUACAUCUACCAUCAACUACCAUGCAGCAAGUUCAGUUUGAUGUUAAGAGGAGGCGUUACAGGUAUUUUUUAGGGCACCCCAUGUUAGUCAAUGGAUUUUGUUUAUGUUUCUGGUGGAGAUGAUUCGGGUGAAGUAAUGUUUGUUUCUUAUGAAUAAACUAAGCGAUGAAUUUAAGAUUACUUGCCUGGUAUAUCUAAUUGUAAUGUGUAUCAUGCUCAAGCAAAGGUAUGAUGACUGACUACUGAUAUUUCCUAAUACAUUUGUAUUUUUUGUUUUACUAACUUUCAGAUUUUUCAAAAUCAUGAUUAUUACAUAGUGUGUAUAAUCUUUUCUUGCUAGCUCUGUACUACGAUUUUGAGGAAUCUGCCAAUGCAAAAAUAAGAUAGUUGUAUGUAGUACUCCAUCCGUCCGGAAAUACUUGUCAUCAAAAUGGAUAAAAGGAGAUGUAUUAGACGUAUUUUAAUUCUAGAUACAUUCCUUUUUGUCCAUUUUGAUGACAAGUAUUUCCGGACGGAGGGAGUAGUUAUGUUAUACAGGUUCUGUUUGAUGUGUUUCGGAAGGGAGAGAUCGAUGAUUUUGGAAUAUAAAGCUUCAUAUGAUUUUUUUCCUCCAAGGUAACCAUGGGAUCCAUAUUUUUUUAGGUUUGUCUCUAAUAUUAUGUAUGCUCUUCCCAUUGAAGUUUCAAUACUUGGGUUUUAGAGCUGCACUUAUAGACUUCAAUUGGUCUGUACUAUAUAUAAUUAUAAAUCAUGUAAUUAUUUUAUUUGCUUCCCGUUCGUUUCAUGUAUUUUCCCUUUUGUUUUUACUAUGACAAGCUCACAAAGAGUGUGUAUUGAAAGGGAAAGUAAUUUGGUAUGUGAGGCCGUUUGAAUGCACCUGUUUCUUGCUGUUGUAUGUUGUAUUGUACCUGUUUCUUAGAUGAAAAUAAGAUUGGCGAUAUAUAUAUAUAUUCUGCUGAACAUGCAUCCCUCUGGCAGCAUUUUAGAAAUAUAAAUAUGUUCAGUUGUUAUCUUAUCAAGUUAACCCCUUGUAAGUAUAAAUUGUGGAGGAUAGCUCAUUGUUCAACUUCGAAAGAUAGGUCCUAUAGUUAGGCUCAACCUGAACAAUAAUAUAUCUAGCAUUAGUAAAAACAAACUAAAAAAGUGAUACAAAUUUAUUUCAAUUCAUAUUUUCUACAUUUCUUUCGGAUGUUUGAUGAUAUAUCUGAACUUAUUCAUAAACCUACCUUUGAUGUUAGGCUCAAUUAUUCCUAAAUUUGGUGUUGACUAUCCCACGAUUUCAAGCUGACUAUCCCACGAGACAAUUUCUCGACCCAGCCAACAAUGGUUCAUAGAAUUUGGGUGUAUUCUCCCGUUCCAACACACGGGCACCUUUACUAUAUGUCGAGUUAUGGUUUCAUGAUAAACGGAGCACGCACCAAAUUUUGAUGAAUUGCUUGAAGAAAAUGCAUCGGGUCUUUUCUUGCGUCCUUCAAGUCUUCAACCAGGAUACAUUUCUAGAGCUAAAAUUUCAGGGCAUCAAGAAGUAAUUAACUAUGCUUCAAUUAUUGAGCUGCAGAUAUGGCAUGUGCGUACACGAAGACCUGAUGCAUCAAAGCUCGGUGUGGACACACCUCUUCUUA